rnacentral:rRNA from 1 species
CCCUUAGAUGCUCUGGGCCGCACGCGCGCUACACUGGUCGAUGCAACGAGUUUCUUUCCUUGGCCGACAGGCCUGGGCAAUCUUUGAACAUCGAUCGUGAUCGGGAUAGAUUCUUGUAAUUUUUGAUCUUAAACGAGGAAUUCCUAGUAAACGCAAGUCAUCAGCUUGCAUUGAUUACGUCCCUGCCCUUUGUACACACCGCCCGUCGCACCUACCGAUUGAAUGGUCCGGUGAAAUCUCCGGACUGGCGUGAGUCGGAGCAAUCUGACAAACACCGGAAAGUUGAUUUAACCUUACCAUUUAGAGGAAGGUGAAGUCGUAACA